rnacentral:rRNA from 1 species
AUUGAACGCUGGCGGCAGGCCUAACACAUGCAAGUCGAGCGGAUGAAGGGAGCUUGCGCCUGGAUUCAGCGGCGGACGGGUGAGUAAUGCCUAGGAAUCUGCCUGGUAGUGGGGGAUAACGUCCGGAAACGGGCGCUAAUACCGCAUACGUCCUGAGGGAGAAAGUGGGGGAUCUUCGGACCUCACGCUAUCAGAUGAGCCCAGGUCGGAUUAGCUAGUUGGUGGGGUAAAGGCCUACCAAGGCGACGAUCCGUAACUGGUCUGAGAGGAUGAUCAGUCACACUGGAACUGAGACACGGUCCAGACUCCUACGGGAGGCAGCAGUGGGGAAUAUUGGACAAUGGGCGAAAGCCUGAUACAGCCAUGCCGCGUGUGUGAAGAAGGUCUUCGGAUUGUAAAGCACUUUAAGUUGGGAGGAAGGGCAGUAAGUUAAUACCUUGCUGUUUUGACGUUACCAACAGAAUAAGCACCGGCUAACUUCGUG